rnacentral:rRNA from 1 species
AGUGAACGCUGGCGGUAGGCCUAACACAUGCAAGUCGAACGGCAGCACAGGAGAGCUUGCUCUCUGGGUGGCGAGUGGCGGACGGGUGAGGAAUACAUCGGAAUCUACUCUGUCGUGGGGGAUAACGUAGGGAAACUUACGCUAAUACCGCAUACGACCUACGGGUGAAAGCAGGGGACCUUCGGGCCUUGCGCGAUUGAAUGAGCCGAUGUCGGAUUAGCUAGUUGGCGGGGUAAAGGCCCACCAAGGCGAAGAUCCGUAGCUGGGCUGAGAGGAUGAUCAGCCACACUGGAACUGAGACACGGUCCAGACUCCUACUGGAGUCAGCAGUGGGGAAUAUUGGACAAUGGGCGCAAGCCUGAUCCAGCCAUACCGCGUGGGUGAAGAAGGCCUUCGGGUUGUAAAGCCCUUUUGUUGGGAAGGAAAUCCAGCUGGCUAAUACCCGGUUGGGAUGACGGUACCCAAAGAAUAAGCACCGGCUAACUUCGUGCCAGCCGCCGCAGUAA